rnacentral:rRNA from 1 species
GAGCGACUAUACCAGUUGACUAGGGUUAAGUGAUGAAGUGACACAGGCAAAGCGUAAUAGCUGCAUUAUCACCCCUGCCUAAUAUGGCCAUCUUACUUCCUGGCAUAUUUGAGACAUCAAUCCAUGUCUGAGUCUGAUUUGGCCUUCCUCAUCCGGUAGGGCCUUCAGCAAGCAGCUUCCAUGACCGCUUGUGUGGUUGAAGAUGGAAACGAGCCUGAACCGGAACCUGAUUAGGUUCCUUCCGGUUACGGCACGGCGACGUCUUUGGGAGGCUUGGAUCAUUGUUUGAAGCAUCUUCGUGUGUGGCAGUCUCAUCGCCAGUAUUUUGGGAUCUUUCUGCUCGCUGACAUGGUCGACGCUCCACGUCAUGGAGCAAGAGGGCGGAGAGCCUCUUCGGUAACAGUUUGGUGUGGGCAGUGCGGCGAAGUCCGGUGGUUCCUCUACGAGACGCGAGUUCAUUCUUGGUUGGCUUCCGUGGUGCUUUUUUUUUGUGUGUGGUUCAGCCCCUCCAGUGCUCAUCCUCCCGGAUGGUGGCGUCCAAUAGUGCAUCUCUUGCUCAUUGUUUUCCGUUGCUUUCUUUGUUUAUCGGUUUUUAUUUUGAUCGGCUUUGUAAGAGUUUUUUCAACACAUUGUAUCAUUCAGCCAUGUGGCUUUAUAUAUAAAGCAGGACGAAACCAUAUUUCAAGG